rnacentral:rRNA from 1 species
CCCGGAUCUAGCGGCGGACGGGUGAGUAAUGCCUAGGAAUCUGCCUGGUAGUGGGGGACAACGACUCGAAAGGGUCGCUAAUACCGCAUACGUCCUACGGGAGAAAGUGGGGGAUCUUCGGACCUCACGCUAUCAGAUGAGCCUAGGUCGGAUUAGCUAGUAGGUGAGGUAAUGGCUCACCUAGGCAACGAUCCGUAACUGGUCUGAGAGGAUGAUCAGUCACACUGGAACUGAGACACGGUCCAGACUCCUACGGGAGGCAGCAGUGGGGAAUAUUGGACAAUGGGCGAAAGCCUGAUCCAGCCAUGCCGCGUGUGUGAAGAAGGUCUUCGGAUUGUAAAGCACUUUAAGUUGGGAGGAAGGGUUGUAGUUUAAUACGCUGCAAUCUUGACGUUACCAACAGAAUAAGCACCGGCUAACUCUGUGCCAGCAGCCGCGGUAAUACAGAGGGUGCAAGCGUUAAUCGGAAUUACUGGGCGUAAAGCGCGCGUAGGCGGCUUGAUAAGAUGGGUGUGAAAUCCCCGGGCUUAACCUGGGAACUGCAUCCAUAACUGUCUGGCUAGAGUACAGUAGAGGGUGGUGGAAUUUCCUGUGUAGCGG